rnacentral:lncRNA from 1 species
AAGACUUUCUUGAGCACAAGGUUCCUCGGAACACACGAGGCUUGACCUUCUUGUUGAAUGCUUUUUUACUCUCUGCUGAUAUGACUGACCAUGACACAUGGCAGUUGAUCUCUUCCUUUCGAUCGAAUUCAGCAUCAGCCAACUUGGGACUUUGAGGGUGCUAUUUUCUUUUGUUUUCUUUUGAUUUUGCUUUUGAUUUCUUUUGAUUUUGAUUUUUUUAUUUUUGCACCCUCUUCUUUUUUGUGCUUGUUUUUUUUUUGAUGCCCCAGUUGGCUGUUCUGCUGAUUCUCGAGACGCAGCUGAGUGAUCUUCUUUUCUUGCUCAAGAAGUCGGGAAAUACCAUCAGGAAUCCCUUCAACAUCAUCUUCGUCUGCUUCGAAUACAGGGAGUUCAAAACUGGGAGAUGACGUCCGAUCACUAUGUUCAAUGGGUUUGAGAAACAACCUGCAUAAUGAUUUUGAUAUGAAAAGCUUUUUGAAAAUCAAACAAGACAAUCGUUAUGCAGAUGAAAAGAUUGCUUUUAUUCUUGUUUUUUUAAGGUUUUUUGUGAUCACCAAUUUCAUGCAAAAAGCGAAAAGGGAAAACAAUUGG